GGGUCUUGGGGAGUGGAUGUAGGUGCUGGGGUGCACCGAACCACUAUAUAUCUUUGUGUUUGUGAUGCCUUAUUUCUUGCGUUUCAUGCCUUACAUACAUACUUGACUUUGUAAUAUUUCUAGCUUUAUUUCCUAAUUGAUUAUAAGAGAUUGUUUAGAACUUGUUUAGCUUUCACUCUAUUCUUACAAUUCACAUAGAUUAAAUUGAUCAUACAACUAUAAGUUAAUUUAGGAUCAAUUGCGUCCUAAAGCCAUAAUAUAAUUGCUCUAGCUUAGUUUGUCACUGCAUUACUUAUAAUUACCUAGAGCUUAAGUAAGUAACAUCUUAUCAUUCCGCUACAUUCAAUUUAAAGUAAAAAAUUAGGAAACACAAUUUUUAGAAAACCCAAUUCACCCCCCCUCUUGGGUUGUCAUCUUGGGCAACAAGUGGUAUCAGAGCAGGUGCUCUUCUAUUAAUUAUAGUCUUAACUGACUAGAGCUAAAGAUUAUGACAACCCCACAUAACAUAUUAUUUGCCGAGGGACUUUCCAUAAACAGACCUCCG
rnacentral:lncRNA from 1 species